GACAGAGGGUGCAAACGUUGUUCGGAAUUACUGGGCGUAAAGCGAGUGUAGGCGGUUCGGUAAGUCGGAUGUGAAAGCCCCGGGCUCAACCCGGGAAGUGCACUCGAUACUGCCGAGCUAGAGUAUCGGAGAGGUUGGUGGAAUUCUCGGUGUAGAGGUGAAAUUCGUAGAUAUCGAGAGGAACACCUGCGGCGAAGGCGGGUUGCUGGGCUGAUACUGACGCUGAGGCGCGAAAGCCAGGGGAGCGAACGGG
rnacentral:rRNA from 1 species